AGGAUAAACGCUGGCGGCGUGCCUAACACAUGCAAGUCGAACGCGCUUUCGGGCUUCGGUGCGAGAGCGAGUGGCGGACGGGUGAGUAACACAUGGGUACCUACCUUGGAGUGAGGGAUACCGGCGAGAAAUCGCCGACAAUACCGCAUAGGCUUCUUCACAAGGGAAGCAAAGUGACGCGAGUCACGCUGUGAGAUGGGCCUGUGGCCGAUUAGCUAGUUGGGGGGUAACGGCUUCCCAAGGCGACGAUCGGUAGCUGGUCUGAGAGGACGAUCAGCCACACUGGGAUUGAGAACGGCCCAGACUCCUACGGGGGCAGCAGUGAGGAAUUUUCCGCAAUGGAGGCAACUCUGACGGAGCAACGCCGCGUGCAGGAGGAAGGUUUUCGGAUCGUAAACUGCUUUUCUCGGGGACGAGCAAGGACGGUAACCCGAGGAAGAAGCCCGGCUAACUACGCGCCAGCAGCCGC
rnacentral:rRNA from 1 species